ensembl:lncRNA
GAAUUAAAUUGUUUUAUUCAUUUCUCCAUGUUAGCAGCACAGUGUUUAUUAUGACUGUUAACCCCAAGUGUGGACAUCACCCCAUUCCACAUUGCUGCUGGUCCAUCCUUUCUUCAUUGUGAAGGAGGUGGUAUCAAGAGAUAAGUGUCCCUGUACAAGAGAAGACCUCCUGUGGUUUCCUGUUACCUUUCCUGUGGGUAGAGGAGUUCAAUCUCUGCAAUUGUUGGUCCAGCAUCUUUCACAAGCAUUACAUUCCUGCAUACACAGCUACUGCUUUGUCUUCUCUCUUUGCUUCACAGCACCUUCCUGAUUAGUCCAUGUAGCACUGUUUUCCUCCAUACCUCCAUACCUCUCCAGUUCCUUUCUUCCCAAAAUUAAAGCAUUUUAUGACACAGAUAAACUAAGCAUCAAGGGAGGUCAGUAGUAUCACUGCUUCCACCAUAAACAGGACAUCUGCACUCACCAUUCAAAGGGACAGUUCAGGGACUCUGCCUCUCUCCUCCGUCCCCCUUACUUCAGUUAAGAUUUUGCAAUCCAUUUUUCACAGUACCGGAGGUUUCCCAGGUCAGUCACAUGAGUUUCUUCUACUGCUGCUGCCACCUACCAGUUUUAUUACUCUGUUGCAGCAGAAGGGCAUAUAGAAGAAGUUCUUGUUCAGCACGCACAUAAUCAUCAUCCACACCAUCUAAGAUGUCAUGGCUUACUCAAGUUCUACAUUUCCCCCACACACUAGGCAAAGCACUGGGCACAACCAAGAUCAAUACAAGGCUUUGAAAGCCACUACAUAAAGAGGAAAGAGCAUGAUCUGUAAAACUACCUUUCAAGCAACAUUAAAUAUUAAGAUAGUAACUUCUGCAGAAUGAAAUUUUUAUCAACUCUCCCCACCACAGAUCAUUUGCAGACACUGCAAAGAACUAGCACCAUCUGUCUUUCAAGAACACACCUUCAUGUAAUAAACAUGAAAUCAGGUUAAGAGAUGCAAAACUGGGAGCCAACAUCAAUUUGUUAACAAUCUGAGGAAAUUAUCUUUUUUUUUUUAGACAUUAUUACAAACCCACAAAUCUCUUCCCCAAAGACACCCAACACAUGCCUGAAAGUGUUACACCCGUGUCCUAUAGCAGCUGAUUCACAAAAAUAUACACAAAUAAAGGAAUAGGCCUGCCCAGUGCUGAGACGCAAGAAGUGGGUAUGUCUGAAAGGAAAAAGCAUUGGAAACAUAAGUAAAACAGGUCUGUAAAAUCAUCUCGCAAGUAAAAUUAAAGACAUAAAUUAUACACUCAAUUGUACCAGUGCAAUUGGUUAUCACUCCACUGGCUUUCCCAGACUGAUUCCACGGUUAUCUCAGUGUAACUGAGAGCAAAAUUUGGCUCUAAAAUUAUUUCCUCCCACUUUAAUUUGAAGCUGCAAUUUAUGGUAUUGCUGAUAAAACUUGCUGUGUUUCAGGAUAAUAUAAAUUGAGAAUAUGAAAAGCAGACUAUUUGAUGAUAUAGAAGAGUUCUUAAUGUACACAAAAAAAAAAUCUGAAACAAGUGCUAAUUCUUUACAGAUGUCAUGGGAAAUAAAACACUGCAUCAGGAAACUUGGAAGCCUGAGUGUAGGCUCAUAUUCUUCCACUUGGUAUUCCAACUGUCUGAUAUUUACCUCUGAGUAAAAUAUAGAUUCUCCUCCUUAAACAAAGUAAAAAAAGUAUUAAGUUCCUAGCACUUUUAAGUGAUUUGAGAUUAAGGGAGCGAGUUGCCAGAACAGUAUAAAAUGUACAAGUACUUGGAUAUAGCAGUAAGGGCAACAGAGAAAUGUGUCACCCCAUCCUCCACAAAGAGAAAUAAUCAGCCCCACCGUCUUUUUCUUUGGCACAUGUGUUCUCCCAUCUGUCCUCCUCAUAGGUUCCUGCUCUAUUGAAUUUUAAUAGAUUAAAUGUUCUUAGUACUAUUUCUUCAUACCAAUCAACUCCUAAUUGAUGCACUUAUAUUUUACAUUCCAUCUUUCAAAAACCUAAGCUAAAAUAGUACACUGGGAGGCAAACUACCUUGAAUUGAUAAAAGAGGAGGUGGAAUGAACAUAUUACAAAACUAUUCUGCACAUAUACUUACUUAUAUGAGGGGACUCACUUUUGUCUCACCUGAGUAAAGCAAAGGACAAUGACAGUUUUUUUAAAAUUAACAUGUUUAAGGAGAGGAAAUAAAGAAGAAAUGUAGAAUUCUCUCUAAAUAUCACUGUUAAAGAAAUCACUCCAGAAGCUUCACCAAAACGAACUGAUGGGAUGAAAGGAAGGCAGACAAGUUAAACUUAUGAAGGUUACAGUAAGAGCAGAAAAGAACCAAUUUACCUGACAACAGGUCGGGUUUGGAUGUCACCAAACUGCUGCAUUUACCAUUUUACCCGCUUGCAUUACUGAGGGGAAAAGUUUAGGAAGGAACAUUCUCAAGGACUUUUCAUAAGUUCUCACUCUCGCCAUCAGAAAGGGGAGAAGGGAAGGUUUUCUCUGGAUUGUUUGACUUUUUUUGGCUCCUGAAAAGUUUUGCAAAGAACAGUAACAAAGUGUGAACUGUUAGAACACAUUUCUGUAAAAAAAGGAGAAUAAGUCACACAAAGUAGAGCAACAGCAAAUCUCACCCAAAGUCCGCGCAUCUAGUUUGUGUCAUCAGUUUAAGCAAACAAACAAAACAAAAACUUUUCAACUCAAACUGGAAAUACAAGAGGCCUGGAGGCUUCCAACAGCAGGCCAAGAUCCACAAUCAGAAUGCUCCAAAAGUUACCCUCAAAGGUUAGGAAAGACUUAAAGAAAUAAAACAAAGGAAAAGGCAGCAAAUAUCUGGUUAUAAAUCCUGCAGUGUUCAGCUUAAAGCAACUCCUAGAACAGUGAAAAAAAAACAGAAAAACAGAAAAAAAAAAAAAAAGAAAAAAAAAAAAAA